UCCGUCCACCUUCCGGAAGUCAGGGCCGCGGCGCUUCUGGUCCCGGAGACUUGGGGCUCCCGGGCUUCUGAGCGGCUCGGGUUCCGCGCUGCCGGCAGGGCUUGGGGGCGCCUUAGAGCCGAACCCCGUUUUUUCAGGAAAGGGCGCUGCGACCACCCCCGUCCCGGGCCUCAGCCCCUCUGCUGCAGACCCUCGGGAUCGUCGCUGGUAGGAGCUCUGUCCCCCGUGUCUGUGUCCAGGACCCCCGAAGCGCCGCGCCUAGGAACCCCCUAGCGCUGGGAGCCCGGCCCUGCUCGACCACGGGCUUUGGGCUGGAGGCGUCAUCGUCGCCACAGCGAACGCUUAUUUGGCACCGAGUGUCCGCCAGGCAUCGCUCUAAGCGCUUUAUACCCAUAACUCACUUCAUCUCAGCCACCCGGUUCCGUAGAAGCGUUUCAUCCGCGUUUUACAGACGUGUGCAGGAAAGAUUCUGAAGCUUGGCGGAGAGGGGUGUGUGAGUGGACACCAGUGAAGUAACGGUUUUUGUGUUACGAUGAUUUCUGUUUUCCUCUGCUGCCCUGUAAUGGCAGGAACUCGGAUAGUCUGGUCUUCAGACCAGGAGGACUCCCAGGAGAGAACGGAGAGCCAGUGUGCUGUGUGUCACGGUCCCUGGAUGAACGUUUGUGGAACUGGAUUGAAUUAAACAAGACGUGCAAAGCAAGUGGUUCACGAGAUUCGAUUGCUGUAGGGACCCCGUGGGUGUGGAAUCAGACAGUAUUGGUCCUUUCAUGACUGGCUUAUUUCACAAAACCCGAUGCCGUCGAGGUCCAUCCAUGCUGAGAUAUUUACGGAGCAUCCCCAGCUGCUGGAUGCUGGGACCCACCAGUGGGCAAGAGGGCCGUGCCCACCCCUUCCUGGAAGAGACACUCACUCAGUAAAUGCAGAGAUUCAGUGUUGGGGUAACCCCAGCACACAGCCCUGAGGGAGGAAGCCCAGUGAUUUGAUCGGAUUUGCUUUUCUCUUCUGCCUCGGAUUCUGUCCAACCCCUGGAAGGACCUCUGAGGUGUCCCGUGGCUGGUUCUAGGCCCCAUUCAAGCCUCCUCCUCCAGGAAGCCUUCCCAGUCCUGGGCAUCUGUAGCCAGCUCGGUGUUUCUCACCUGGGGCCUGGGACGUCUCCCAUUCUGAACUGCCGUGUUUUGGGUUUACUGUUCUCUGGCUUUUGGUCCCAGCCGGACGGUGGCCUCUUGUGUUCAGGGACAAGGCAAGGAGCAUCCAUGCACCCCCACAGUACCCAGGCUGGGUCUGUGCCCGCCAGGCCCCCGGCAAAGCUUGGAUGAUCCGGGCUGGGCUGUUCUCCUGCUGCUCUCCUGCUGCUGGCCUCGCUGUAUCAGCUGAUGGCCAUCGCGCCUCCUGCACCCGUCAUCCCGCCCUGCACGCCCCCGCCACGUGGAUGAGCUCCCUGGGGAGUUAAUGGCUAAUGGAGUCUCCGCUCUCUCUUGUCAAAUGCAGCCAUCAUCCGCUGGUGCUUUAAGGGACUCUCUCCCGUCCCCACCCUAUUCUCAGGUGGCUCCUACCGACACCACCUAAUGGUGAACCCCAACACGAGGACACAGGCAGUGCCCUCUCAGGACCACUGUGGGUGCCACCAGGCACGACUUCCUAAACACCCACAGAGCAAAAACCUGGAAAUUCAGCCGAGGCACUGGGACCCCAACCUCUCCCAGAGUGGCCCCAGCUCCACGGCGUCUGCAUGGCUCUGGCCGUGAGCAGAGCAGCCCCGACCUCCGUCCUGACCCAGGGCGCCGGAGCGCCACUGCGGAUCUCACCACCACACAAGCCAGACCUGCUAGGAAGCCCUUCCCGGCCACCAGCUCUCGGGCGAUGCACACAACAGGGCCUUUUGAAUUCCCUGAGGUUAAGGUUCCCCUUGAGUCUCCUGGGCUACAAGCAAAUCCCCCGAGGGGAGAAGUCCAGGCUGACACAGCCUCCUGCACCCCUGCCUUGGGAGGCCACACCUCGUUUGCCUCUAGAACCGACGACUGGGGAGCACUGUUUGCAGAGUUCUCUCUCUCUGGAACGGUGAAGGAAUCUGAAGCCCAGAGAGGGAAAACAAUGCCUCCUGGGUCACACAGCCCAUCAGGGGCAGGGCAGGGACGAACGGCGAGAAAAGGACCAGCGCGAGAGGAGAUCCCCAGCAGUGAUUCCUCAGCCAAGCCCAGCGUCUACCCACAUCCACACCUCACAGCCACCUGAUGGGGAAGGCACCAUUGCCCCUUUUCAAAGGUGAGAAAACAGAGGCUCAGAGAGGUUCAGCAACUUCUCCCACAGCUACUUCGUUGUAGAACUGCAGUUCCAGGUGUCCCCGAGCUCUCCCUUCCCGAGCCAUCUGCUCCUGCCCUCCUAUCCGAGCCCUGGCCCUCCCAGUCAAAGCCGGGUAGUGGCUGUUCAGAAGCCUUGGGGCUAGUCAAUCCCAGCUGUCUCGGACCAGGGCCCCCCCCAGGAGGAGACCCUGAAGGAUGCAGUUGAGAAUAUGUGCUUUCUUUGGUAGGUGAUCUCAGGAAUUGCAGGGGAAAGAGGGGGAGCGUGUUAGUGUAGGCUCUCCGGAGAAGCAGAACCAACGCACAGAGGAGAUUUAGGAUGAGGAAUCUGGUUUAUGUGACUCUGGGGGCUGAGAAGGCCCACCAUCUGUGUUGCAAGCUGGAAACCCAGGGAAGCCUGAGGUGUGAUUCAAACUCAGCUCAGGUCUGGAGGCCUGAGAACCAGGGCAGCCGAUGGUGGACAUCCAGUCCAGGGGCAAGAGAUGACGAGAUGUCCCGGCUCCAGUGGCGAGGCAGGAAAUGAGGGGUGAACUCCUCCUCCCUCUGCUGUCUGUUCUAUUCAAGUUCUUGAGGGAUUGGAUUAUGCCCAGCCACUUGGGGAGGGCAGUCCACCUUCCUGAGUCCACAAUUCAAAUGCUGAUCUAAUCCAGAAACACUCUCACAGACACAGUGUGUAGUCUGGGCACCCCACAGUGCACUUAAGUGGACACAUAAAAUUAACCAUCCCAGGGAGUGAGAUGGGUAAGGGAAGAUGGGCCACAGUGGGUGUGUCUCCAUGCCUACCCCCACUGUGGGCAGCUGCUGGAGCACACGCCUCAAAGUCUUCCCUGAGGGAGAGGGAGCUGAGGUGUUUAUAUCCCAGCUCUGUCAGGCAUUGGCUGAAUGUCCACACUCCUGGAUCACCGCCUCUCAUCCUCAUGAUGUCCCAUGGUCCUCAUUUCACAAGUGAGCUCUGGGUACAUGGGGAGCAUCAGUCACACCCUGGGUCAGUACCUCAGCUGUCUCUCACAUGACAUCCUCAUUAUCCACACUGCAAAGCCAACCAUCCCUAUGAUGGGUUCAUUGUGGAUCAUGACUUAGUGGGUCAAGAGUUUGGAAGUGGCUCAGCUGGGCGGUUCUUCUGCUCCAUGUGGCUGCCAGAUGGUACCCUGCUGGUGGGCAGUCUGGUCUAGAGGGUCCAUGAUGGCUUUACUCACAUGCCUGGCAUCUUGACAGGGACAGCUGGAAGGCAAGGUUCAGCUGGGACUGUCCACAGAGCUCCUCCCUGUGGCCUUUCCAGCAUGGUGGUCUCAGGGUAGCUGGACUUCCUGCAUGACAGCUCAGGGCUCCCAGAGCUACUGUCCCAAGAGAUAGAAGGUGGAAACUGCCAGUCUCUUAGGCUAGGACCAGAAACCAGCACCCCUGCACCCACAGCCUUUUGGUAGUGAUGAAAUAAACAUAAGAUUUAUCAUUUUAAUCAUUCGUAAGUGGGAUUAAAUACAUUUACAAUAUUGUGUAACCAUCGGCACUGUCUAUAUCUAAAACUUUUUCAUCAUCUGCAAUAAAAACUCUGUAUGCAUUAAA
rnacentral:lncRNA from 1 species